CGCGCCUCGCGCCUGCAGCCGGGAGCCGGGAUCCGGAGCUCCGGCCUGCGUGUGCGCGACUGCGGGCGGCUCGGGCGGGAAUAACCGCCUCGUCAGCUUUCGGCUGCGAGAACCGCGGCUGUGAGACGGCGCUCGUCGCGGCGGGACGGGCGCGGGAGCGCGGCAGCGUUGUUCUGCAAAUGCCGGAGUUACGCCCUCCUGGUAUUCUAGCGUGUUUUGAGCUUGAUAUUUGAGAAACGGUGUUGUGGGAUGUGAAUCACACAGCCACGGGCAAGCAUCAGAAUGAAAGGACUCAAAUGAGCAGAAAGUGCCAGGGCAGUAAUUGCAAGGAGCUGAAAUGUACAAGUAAUGACUGCAGAUACCCAACUGCUGGUUCUAUGAGAAUGAAGUUCAGUGUAAAGCAGUCACAUGCUGUCACUGUUUGGUAUAUGUAACUGUGCAUUGCUGGAAUGGGUGUACUUCUCUGUGCCUGCAGAGAGUAGCAUAUCUCACAUGAAGGUAGUCACGGAUGAGGAGCGGUUCUCUAUCAUUUUUUCCUGAGGUGUUGCUAAAGGAGAGAAGCAAAAUGGUCUAGGUAAACCUAUUAUCACCUGUUUUCCUCAAGUCAAUAAGUAUUUCCUAUUCAGGGAAAUCAAAUGCCGCUGAGAAAGAAAAUAAAGUGAACAUUUGGCUUUUGUC